rnacentral:lncRNA from 1 species
CCAUGCCUUCCCCCUCACACUGUCAGCGAAGGCAUGGGCCUUUCAUUCUUCAUUGCCAGAGAUUGCCAGGUCAUUGCCAGGUCCAUGACCCUGAAUGUAGGCUGAGAGCCCCUCGUGCCUGGAACACUGCCAUCUCAGGGGUGACGUGGAGCCAGAGGAGAUCCUCAGACCCUACGGCGCCUUCUGGCUCACCGCUGCCUUCUGUAUCCUCAGCGUCCUUUUCACGCUCACCUUUGUCCCUGAGACUAAAGGCAGGACUCUGGAACAAAUCACAGCCCAUUUCGAGGGACGGUGACGGACCCUUUCUGUGACUGGCAGCCCUGAGCUGAGCUGGCUUCGGGUUUCAAAAGGAGUGGAGUGGCCUCAGUGACCACAGUUUGAGCCCAGGGGCCCCCUGACUCCUCAGAUCUCCGGGCCAGCUUUGUCCAGAUCUCAACCCAGAUCCACACCAUG